CCCCAGAGGAACCACAGAGUUGGGAUGAGGACAGUGCAAGUGUGAGAGUGCUGGGUGUGAGGGUGCUGGGUGUGAGGGCACCAGGUGUGAGGGUGCUGGGUGUGAGGGCACCAGGUGUGAGGGUGCUGGUUGCGAGGGCACCAGGUGUGAGGGUGCUGGGUGCGAGGGCACCAGGUGAGAGGGUGCUGGGUGUGAGGGCACCACGUGUGAGGGUGCUGGGUGCGAGGGCACCAGGUGUGAGGGUGCUGGUUGCGAGGGCACCAGGUGUGAGGGUGCUGGGUGCGAGGGCACCAGGUGAGAGGGUGCUGGGUGUGAGGGCACCACGUGUGAGGGUGCUGGGUGAGAGGGUGCUGGGUGCGAGGGCACCGGGUGUGAGGGUGCUGGGUGCGAGGGCACCGGGUGAGAGGGUGCUGGGUGCGAGGGCACCAGGUGUGAGGGUGCUGGGUGCAUGCAAGGAUCUUGCCCAGGAGGGAAGAGAGCUUUUGAUUGACAGGAGGGAAACAUCCUCUCAGAAGUCAAGGGAUGGCCAGAGUGUAGUUAAUGUGUUGCCAAAGGAUCCUUGUGUCCUCAUGAGCUCAGAGAGUGAGGCAUGAGAACUUGAGGUAGGCCGCAGUAGUGUUGGCCGUGGUGGCCAUGCAAACAUAAUGAACAGAGUGACAAGCAGAGUGGAGGAUCUUUAGGACCUGGACAAGGAUCCUGAACUGGGAGCCUCUGCCACUCAUUUUUAGAGGCUCCGUAUCUUCAACAGAGAGGAAUCCCCACCAGGACAAUAACAAGGAUGGCAAGAUCAACCAUAUUUUGUAAUGUCAGUGCCAGACACUGUGUGAGGCUCACAUAGUGAUUCAUUGAUGCCUCAAAAUAAAUCUUGUAGGCUAAACAUUCUUACUCCGGGCUACAGCAAGGAAAAUGAACCUCCAAGAGGCUAAGGACCUGUCUGAAGUGGCAAACGGUGGAGCCCAGAUGCAGCGAGUCAUGCUGAUCAUGCUGCUUCAGAGACCAUGCAGUCUUUUCUGGAGAGUCUUCUAUUUG
rnacentral:lncRNA from 1 species